GACGAACGCUGGCGGCGUGCCUAAUACAUGCAAGUAGAACGCUGAAGGAGGAGCUUGCUUCUCUGGAUGAGUUGCGAACGGGUGAGUAACGCGUAGGUAACCUGCCUGGUAGCGGGGGAUAACUAUUGGAAACGGGAGCUAAUACCGCAUAAUAUUGACUAUUGCAUGAUAGUCAGUUGAAAGGUGCAACUGCACCACUACCAGAUGGACCUUCGGUGUAUUAGCAAGUGGGUGGGGUAUCGGCUCACCAAGGCGACGAGGCAUAGCCGACGUGUGAGGGGGAGUGGCCGCACUGGGAGGGAGACAGGGCCCAGAGGGAUACGGGUGGGAGCAGUAGGGCAUCUUGGGCAAUGGAUGGAAGUCUGAGCGAGCAGCGCCGCGGCAGGGUAGAAGGACUUCGGGUGGGAAAGGUCUGUUGUCAGAGAAGAACGAGUGUGAGAGUGGAAAGCUGACAGUGUGACGGUAACUGACCAGAAAGCGACGGCUAACUACGUG
rnacentral:rRNA from 1 species